UACGAAGGGGGCUAGCGUUGCUCGGAAUGACUGGGCGUAAAGGGCGCGUAGGCGGUUUGGACAGUCAGAUGUGAAAUUCCUGGGCUCAACCUGGGGGCUGCAUUUGAUACGUUCGGACUAGAGUGGGGAAGAGGGUCGUGGAAUUCCCAGUGUAGAGGUGAAAUUCGUAGAUAUUGGGAAGAACACCGGGUGGCGAAGGCGGCGACCUGGUCCUUGACUGACGCUGAGGCGCGAAAGCGUGGGGGAGCAAACAGG
rnacentral:rRNA from 1 species